AUGUUUGUUGUUUGGCCUUGGCAGUUGGAUGUAGUGAUAAUGCAAAGGGAAGACGGGACACCAAAGUCGUUGGAACAUCAAUCACGGUGGUACAAAACAUGUCAACAACGAAAGCACGUAUUGCUGCGUGAUGAUUUGGCAAUGGCUAAGCUCAAAGAAUGGAAUGUUAAUGCUGCUUUAAAGUUAUUUCAGUAUAGUUUACUAGCUAGACAAGACUGA
rnacentral:lncRNA from 1 species